UACAGAGGUCUCAAGCUUUGUUCGGAUUCAUUGGGCGUAAAGGGUGCGUAGGCGGCGCGGUAAGUCGGGUGUGAAAUCUCGGAGCUUAACUCCGAAACUGCAUUCGAUACUACCGUGCUUGAGGACUGGAGAGGAGACUGGAAUUUACGGUGUAGCGGUGAAAUGCGUAGAUAUCGUAAGGAAGACCAGUGGCGAAGGCGGGUCUCUGGACAGUUCCUGACGCUGAGGCACGAAGGCCAGGGGAGCAAACGGG
rnacentral:rRNA from 1 species